rnacentral:misc_RNA from 1 species
AAUCCAUCGGACUGUUUGUGUUCGCUAGAACACGAGCGGGCCGCAUUGGGCUGCCGUGUCCCCCCUCCGGGUGGACGCGUAGCCUCGAGGUUGAUCGUGCGGAGUUUGCGACGACUCAACUCUUGGACCUAAACAGUCUGGGUUGACCUGUCGGCUGGUCGCACGUUUUGGGUGCCAGAGCUGUCUGUUCUGCCUGGUGCACCGACAACUUUCUAUUU